rnacentral:rRNA from 1 species
AUGCUUCCUACGGGGUCCAUUGAGUCUGAUACGAGACUGGUUCUUGGGAAUGCAUUGUGUUUCAAAGGAACUUGGGUUCAGAAAUUUCAUACAUCAAUAAAAGCACCAUUCAUGUCUAGUAGAAAGAACCAAUAUAUUUCGUGUUUUGAAAACUUGAAGGUACUUAAGCUUCCUUACGAGCAAGGCGGGGACAAGAGGCAGUUCUCCAUGUACAUACUUCUUCCAAAAGCACAAGAUGGCCUUUGGAGCUUGGCAGAAAAGUUGACCUCUGAGCCAGAGUUUCUGGAGAAGCAUAUCCCUGCUCGAGCGGUUCCAGUCGGGCAAUUCAAGAUCCCUAAGUUCAAGAUAUCAUUUGAUUUUGAAGCGUCCAAAUUGUUCAAGAGUUUGGGCCUCCAACUCCCAUUCAGCACAGAAGCAGAUCUUUCGGAAAUGGUCGAUGCCCCAUUAGGACAGAGUUUGUGUGUCUCAUCUAUAUUCCACAAAUCUUUCGUAGAAGUGAAUGAAGAAGGAACUGAGGCUGCCGCAACAACUGUUGCGGUAGUCAUGUGUAAAUCGCUUCCACCAGUUCCUCCCAUGAAGGUGGAUUUUGUCGCGGAUCACCCUUUCCUCUUCGUGAUACGAGAAGACAUGACCGGUGUGGUGCUAUUCGUCGGUCAUGUGAUCAAUCCUCUGCUUGCAGCUUAG